CUCCCGGCUGGCCACCUGGCCCGUCCCUCCCGCUGCUAGUAUAAUAAAUAUAAAUGGCAGCCGAUCGUGAAGGGGCCGAGCCCACGUGAUCAGGCCACGAAAGCCGCUGG
ensembl:misc_RNA Gm55212 predicted gene, 55212